rnacentral:rRNA from 1 species
AGUCAAGAUGAGAAUUCUAAGGUGAGCGAGCGAACUCUCGUUAAGGAACUCGGCAAAAUGACCCCGUAACUUCGGGAGAAGGGGUGCUCUUUAGGGUUAACGCCCAGAAGAGCCGCAGUGAAUAGGCCCAAGCGACUGUUUAUCAAAAACACAGGUCUCUGCUAAACCGUAAGGUGAUGUAUAGGGGCUGACGCCUGCCCGGUGCUGGAAGG